rnacentral:rRNA from 1 species
UACGAAGGGGGCUAGCGUUGCUCGGAAUCACUGGGCGUAGAGGGUGCGUAGGCGGGUCUUUAAGUCAGGGGUGAAAUCCUGGAGCUCAACUCCAGAACUGCCUUUGAUACUGAGGAUCUUGAGUUCGGGAGAGGUGAGUGGAACUGCGAGUGUAGAGGUGAAAUUCGUAGAUAUUCGCAAGAACACCAGUGGCGAAGGCGGCUCACUGGCCCGGUACUGACGCUGAGGUGCGAAAGCGUGGGGAGCAAACAGG